GUGGAAAUGUAGGGAAGAGAAGGGCUGUUGGAUUUCCUAGGCCUUUCUGGCUCAAAGUUUCUGCUUCUACUGUAUUAAUGCAGUUCAUGGAUCCCCAUCUUUUCUGGUACAUAUCCUUAAACUGCAUCUGUGGAACAAGAUGUUGAAUUUAGUUCUUUUCUUUCUCUUUCUUGUUUCUCUUUCAGGAAAUAACCACUUCAAAUUUAUCCAAUUUUACCAGGCAGAAUACUUGUUGGAAAAGAAAAGAAUACUUUUUGUCUCCUGCCAAACUAAAGUCCAUCUGAUGGAAGUGUGGGUAAGGAAUGAAUUGGAGAAGAUAAAGAUAACAGGGGAAUGGCUCUUACCAGUAUUUCUAGAAGAAACUACUGCAGUCCCUCUUCUACUGAGAUUAAGGGAUGAUAUUGCCAGGAACAAAAGAACAGGCAUGUAAUUCAAUUUGACUAAGUAAAUUGUGAGAUUUAAAGGUUUUUUUUUUUUUAGGAAGAAUUCCCAGAGAAGUGGCUAUACUACAUUUUAAGAUUGUGUAUCAGAUCCUAAACUCCCUAUCUUAUUGUUCAUUUAGGUUAAGGGAUUAGAGAGUCUAUGUCUAAAUGAUAUUUCUUUAUAAGGCAGAAAUAUUAAGCAGCAACAUAUCAUGGAUAAAAACAAUGGAUUAGGAACUGAGAAACAGACAUUAGUUCUGGCUAAAUUAUUAAGUAGCUGUGUAACCUUAAGGAAAUUAGACAAUUUCCCUGGGAAAUCAGCUUCCUCAUUUGUAAAAUAAUCUUUAAAGUAUUAUCCCUCAAAAAUCCAAGAUUCUAUGUUUAUAAUACCCUAUGGUAUUUUUUAGUCAAAAUCAUUUUUGUUCCCAAACAGAAUAAUUAGCAAUUUUUCUUCUAAGAUCAUAAGAAAACAUAGGUUAUGUUUGAUAAGUAAUUGAUAUAGUAUGGCUCUGUCUCCAUCAAAAUCUCAUCUUGAAUUGUAGCUCCCAUAAUUUCCACAUGUUAUGGGAGGGACCCAGUGGGAGGUAAUUGAAUCAUGGGGGCAGUUUCCCCUAUGCUGUUCUGGUGGUAGUAAAUAAGUCUCAUUUGAUCUGAUGGUUUUAUAAGAGUUUUCCCUUUUUGGUUGGCUGUCAUUCUCUCUUGUCUGCCACCAUGUAAUUUCACCUUCCACCAUGAUUGUGAGGCCUCCUCAGCCCUGUGGAAUUGUGAGUCCAUUAAAUGUCUUUUUCUUUAUAAAUUACCCAGUCUUGGGUGUGUCUUUAUCAGCAGUGUGAAAAAUUACUAGAUGGUAAUCAUGGAGAAUGGAUAUAUCCCAAAUUGUGGGUAGUCCUGCUAGGGAGAACAGAGCUGGGCAAGCUGCUACAUACUAGAACCUGGACACCUGGGGAUCAUGGAGAUACUAGGGAUCAAAAGGGAGUAGAUGAUUUUAGGAAAGUGAGGCCAUUGUAAAGCCACUCUGCCCCUGUUAAAAUCAUGCCUGGGGCCAUCCCUGAGUCCCUGGGAGGGAAGAGGACUUUCUGCCUGCUCUCUAUUUGUAAGCAGGGCAUAAAAUUCACUACUACAAACUAAUGACAGGAGUAUACCUGAUCUAUGCCAGUUAACUGUAAAUCAGUUUCUUUACAGAUUGAUAGGUUCUUUUUAUAAAGGACUUUUCAUGUAGAAUGUUCAUUUACUACUCCCAUCUUUCUCAUCUCUCUUUAUCCCGUCCCCUUGUAAGACUCACAUAGGAGUGAAAUAAAGUGGUCUAGACAUAUUUUGAAGAUUGGAACAUUUUUUCCAGACUGUGAUAGGACAGCUCCAAAUGUGAUGCAGCUGGAUUUUCCCUGGGUGGCCUGUGGUGCCUCAAACCCAACAAUGAUUCUCUAAGAAACCUAAAAUUCAUGCUCAGGUCUUUAA
ensembl:lncRNA